rnacentral:lncRNA from 1 species
UCAUAUAACUAAUCAAAUGGCGAAUAGGAGUUUCUCUCUUAUCUCAUUUUGUGUGCCAAAUAUAUUUGUAUAAAUUAAUUGUAUUAGUAAUACAUAAUGACUUUAAAAAGUGGAAGUAAUUACCUUUAUUUGUUAUAAUAUGUAUAUUUUAACUAAUUUAAAAGAUAAAUAAUCAAUAAAUGUCCAACCAUGAGAUGUUGACCGAGUUUUGAGAGCCCUGGCUCAGCACAGUGGGAGUAUUUGAAGCUUUGUUUAUGAACAUGGCGGUGUGGUCAUACAAUGACUUUAAACCGGACACUACUCUGAGCUGUUCACAUUAUACAUAUGCUCCAGAUAUGUAAUCAGGUCCUCCUUUAGGAAUGGUUUGUGCAGAAUUUGAGACAUCCAGAAUUACCAUAGGCCCAUUAGAAUCAACAAUCUUUGCCAAACUUGAUUCGGACUGCCAAAAUUUACGAAGAUGUUUUCAUACUGAAGAAGAGACCUUGGACAAAUACUGAAACCCUCUUGGUGCCCACUACACAGGUAAGAACAACUGCACUCAACACAACCUUGUAUUAAAACAUUAUUCUCUCACUGGUUACUGGAAAUUGACAAAAAAAGACAGAUAAGAUAAGGUUUAUUAAUACAAUAAAUACAAAAUAUGUGGUAUAUCUAUAAACUGAUAGAUUUAUUUUGAUGCAAGGCAGGGGUGUCCAGACCUGCUCUAGGAAAGCCAGUGUUCUGUGGGGUUCAGCUCUAACACACCUGCCUGGAACUUCAGGGUAAGACUUUUUUGUUUAAAAUUUCCCAAGAACCUUGAUUAGCUGGUUCAGGUGGUGUUUAAAUGGCUAGAUCACCCAAAAUAAACAUGUCAUUAUUCACCCUCAUGUCGUUUCAAACCCGUAAGACCAUCAUUCAUCUUCAGAGCACAAAUUAUGAUAUUUUUUAAGGA